rnacentral:rRNA from 1 species
UACGAAGGGUGCAAGCGUUACUCGGAAUUACUGGGCGUAAAGCGUGCGUAGGUGGUUUGUUAAGUCUGAUGUGAAAGCCCUGGGCUCAACCUGGGAACUGCAUUGGAUACUGGCGAUCUGGAGUGCGGUAGAGGGUGGCGGAAUUCCCGGUGUAGCAGUGAAAUGCGUAGAUAUCGGGAGGAACAUCCGUGGCGAAGGCGGCCACCUGGACCAGCACUGACACUGAGGCACGGAAAGCGUGGGGAGCAAACAGG